UACGUAGGGGGCAAGCGUUGUCCGGAUUUACUGGGCGUAAAGAGCGCGCAGGCGGUCGUUCAAGUCGAGUGUGAAAGCCCCCGGCUCAACUGGGGAGGGUCAUUCGAUACUGAUCGACUCGAAGGCAGGAGAGGGUAGUGGAAUUCUCGGUGUAGAGGUGAAAUUCGUAGAUAUCGAGAGGAACACCGGUGGCGAAGGCGGCCAACUGGACGAAUACUGACGCUGAGACUCGAAAGCGUGGGGAGCAAACAGG
rnacentral:rRNA from 1 species